rnacentral:pre_miRNA from 1 species
CAACUACUCCCUCUGUCCCAAAUUUCUUGUCUUAGAUUUGUCUAGAUACAGAUGUAUCUAAUACUAAAAUGUGACUUGAUACAUCCGUAUCUAGACAAAUCUAAGACAAUAAUUUUGGGACGAAGGGAGUACUUU